rnacentral:rRNA from 1 species
UCCAGUAGCUGUAUUGCCCUGCAACUCACUGGAGCUCAGCAGGUCUGAGCCUGGCCGGUACCUGGAUGGGAGACCUCCUGGGAAAGCUAAGGUUACUGCUGGAA